rnacentral:tRNA from 1 species
GGGGUUAUAGCUCAGUGGUAGAGUGCUUGCCUAGCAGGUGUGAGACACUGGGUUUAAUCCUUAGCCCCA